AAGAAGAGAAUAAACAGCACAGCACAUGGUCCAGUUUGUAGAAUAAAAAAUGACACAAUCAAGAGUGACUGUGAUCUGUAUAAGAACAGGCCUGAUGUGACGGUCAUUAAUGGGACUCUGAUAAUAAACUCAGUGACCAGAGCAGAUUCUGGGAUUUACACAUUAUUUAUCUUUAACUCUGCUGGCACACUAAUACCUACAGCAGAUCUACAGGUGAAUAUUAAAGAGUCUUCAGUGUCUGUGGUGUUUGUGGUGCUCUGGAGUCUUCAGAUGACGCUUCUGUUGGGUCUGUUAGCAGGUUUUCACCUCUACAUGAGACGCACGUCAGGAAAGAAAGCAGAAGAUGAGAAUGUGAGAAUGAGCAGAUCUGGAGACGAGCACGAGGAUUCAUGAGGCCAGCAGCAGAUCUUCUGUUUUACCUGAUGUAUAAUGUUGUUUUCGCUACUCUUGUUUAUUUUUCCUUCAUUGUCUUUGUCUUAAUAUCAUACAGCAGUAUUAACGCUCUUGUGUUGAAAACAUUAAGAUGAAUUAGUAUUGAAUUGAAUUAAAAAAUUCUUCAAAUUUAAACUGUAUUUACAGUCAAAAUCCACAAGCUCAUUUAAUACAGUCUAUUUUCAUAUCAUUUAUUUAACAGAUAAAUGUAUUAGUAUGGUCAUAACUGUUUUUGCUCUGCAAAUAUACCUAAAACAACAUAUCAUUGCGUUUGUUUGAUAAUAAUUAGUCAAACAGCCUUGCAUUUUUACAGUUUAAUUAUAGGUUCAUUUAGAUGGAGGCAAUACAAUAAUGAAGUAUUGUGCUGAUAAAUGCUUUGUUGUAAGUUUACUUGCACUGGUGUGGUUUUGCUGUGAUGGUUUAUGUUCUUGUCAUCAUGUUUUGUGUUAGCAUGACAUGUGGUUAAUGAGGGUUCUCAUGUUUCCUGGUCGUACAAACAUUGCAACACACUGUAAAAAUGCAGGGUUCCAUACAAUCCCAUCAUGUCAUCCCAAUGCAAAUUGAUUAAGUUAGUGUAAUUGUAUCAGUUUUUAUCUACAUAUAGCCUAAAAGUGAAAUAUUAGACUCAUUAUAGUAAAGGAUGAGACGCAUAGUUUGUAUAGUUUGACCCACAGUUUGCAGAAAUAGCUGAUCAGAGUGUCUGUAAGUCAGGAAACACUAAAUAUUCCUCAAAACACUGAAACCUUAAAAACAUUUCAUUAAUAAAUUAUAUGUAAUUUAAAUUAGUACAUAGAUUUGAUUCACUGAAGCAUGUUUUACUCUAACAUUACUGAAAAAGUUGACCCCCUUCUCCCCAUUGUAAUUGGAACAAGCAGCAAAAA